UGAUGAAUUUCAGGAACAUACCUCUUUCUGUGAUAUUAGAUUACCAUAUGACGCUCGACGCUCUGUAUAUGACAGAUGAUACGGAAACUGGUUCAGUUGUUCAUUAUAGGAAAUAUCUUUCAACACCCUAAAAUUCUAAUGAAAGAUUUCGAAUAAUUUUAUCUAUUGACUAAUGGACCUAUAUAUCGAGUUUUUAAAAAAUUGACGACACAGUUUUAUGUCCACCUCAGAAUAUUAUGAGGGAUAAUCCAUAUGAAUAGGUAUGUGUUUUUAAGUAUGUUUUUAUGUUGCUCUGUUGUAUUUUGUUUCUAUACCUACUAAAGUAUACUGUUUUUUUACAUUAUGGCACUAUGUUACGCCCCAUAUUUUCAAUGUCGUUCUGUUUCCAGCCUUGAAAAAGACCAGAAAUAAAGGUCGAAACGUCGGCAUCUCAUUAAGGAUUUUUAUUUCCCCUGUCCUCUUUGCCACUACAUAGUUGAAUAUAUUCCUUGUGUUGUUCAUAGAGUUAUUUCACCUUUGGUAUACAAUUUGAGGGAUCUCAAUGGAAAUGACCUGGGUAAUUUUAAUGUUAGCUAUUUGAAGUUGUAUAUUAGUGAUAGUGCCACUGAUGAUCGGCACGACAAUUAUUAGUACCUAAUAUAAUUUUAAUUUUCUUUAUUUUGUUCACAUUUUUUUGUGUGUUGAGGUCAUUUAUUUGAUUUUCAGCUUAGUUUUUUAUUUUUGAAUUUUCUCAAUUGAUAAACUUGGACAGACAGCUUAAGCUGGGGCUUUCAGUUAUGAAUAUUGAAUUCCCAUAUUUUUGGUCAUUUUGGCAUAGAGAUUAUGCAUUGAGUAUGUAAGUUUGCAUAAAUAUUCUGUCUGUCCGAAAUUUGUCAGAAGCGAUUGUUUACUAUUCAGUGAAACUAAUUUUUGGAUAGAUUUUUUAACUGCUUUUGUUUAGAUUCACAAUAUUUUCAGAUUUUCUCUUUUUGUAAUUGAUUCGAAUAGAUUAGCACCAAUAAUUUUACCUUGUGUAGUAUUUUGAGUGUGAGAUAGUAUCUCACUGGCGCCCAACUUUAGUUUUUUGUUGUUCUUUCUAUCUUUUAAUGUCGUUCUGAUCUGAUGUCCUAUUUUGUCGUGGGUUAUAAAUUAUAUUAUGAAAAGGGAGGUAGGGAGGAGAGUCAGAUUGAUUGUGUAUAGUUUCUUGAAGCUAUAUACUGCCAAUCUUGAACUGUUCACUGAGUGGUUUAUUUUAGAACUUUUCAAACCAAAUUAAAGAAGAACCGUAGAACUGUUCUCUUUUUAGCUACUCAUAUCAUUGAGAGCAUCAUGAAAUAACCUUGAAUUAUUUGUGAUUCGUUAUUAUAAUUGUAUGUUUUGUUCAGAAGACUGAUGUGGGGACAAAUAUCUUUUAUAUAUAGUAAUUUCUAUUAGUAAUAUUUUUUUUUAUUGGACUGAAGAGGGUACACAAACUUCCUGUAGCGCACUGUCCAAUAGGUUUGCUGACCAUCUAGCAUACCAUGUCUCCUUUCUAUUUUUGAUGGGUACUUGUUUCGAAUAUGAUUAAUUUCUAUUUCAAUAUUUAAACAUUAAAAUUUUUGCUACUUUCAGGGUUUUAUGCACUCAUUUUUUUUUUUUUUUGGUGGGUAGAGGAGAUGUGUAACGAUACGAUCGUUACAACUUUCUUUUUUUUUUUAAUUUUAAUUUAUUCAUUACAUAUUUGUUGUACCGUCACUGCAUUUGUACGUGUAUCGAAGAAUUCAGAUUUGCAGAUGGGCGCAUGUUUUCAAUCUGAUAAGAUAUUAAUCGGUUAUUCGAAGAUUUUAUUCUAUCUUUUCUGCUUUGUCUGGUAAAUGAAAUAAGUCAUCGGAGUUGACUUCUUGAUAUAGAUAUUUUUUGGUAUUAAAUUUUGAGAUUUAGUUGAUAUUUCAUAGUUUCUAUUGGUUUAGUGAAACUCAAUAAAAAUUGAGUUUUUGGAUGAAGCCCAGAAUUUCGAUUUGAACAUAUAUUUCCAAGAUUGAACUUCGUUGACCAACAUCCAACUUCGAAGAAUCCAUCACAUCUGAAAACUGUGGUCAUAAGAACCUGGAAAUCCUUAUAUGGUGCUGUGACAGUAUCGUACCAAAUCAGAUGGUUCUUUCUGCAUGGGAGCACUUCACCUGGAUUUUAAUUGCUAAUGGAAGUAUUCUGCUAUGUAUUUUGUAAUUUCAUUCGAUAUCCAAUUUAUAUAAUUUCGUAUGCUCUAUUUCAUUUUUCAUUUGAGACAAUUCGCUUCAAAGCUAUUCAUAAUAAUUUUCAUUGUUGAAAUUCAAUUGUAAGCAGCUAUUUUUCAAUAUUUCACUCUUAACUUUUUAUUACAAUUUGAGCAAUUUAGUGGAUCAUUUCAUCUUAUUAAUAAAUCUCUGAAAGUGGA